ensembl:lncRNA
CCCGCCGGCAAAAACAAGGGGCUACUGGAGGCACUGAAACGUUAACACCGCUCUGGGAGGCUCCUCUCUCCUCCUUAGAAAGGCAGCGGGGGCAAGGAAACAGACUGGCCCCCAAAAGCUUAAGUGAACCAGGAAAUUCGUUGGUGGCAAAGGAAUACAGCGCAAGGACUUUCUAGAUUUUUCUCUGCUCCCACAAUGGUUAGGAAAUGAUUAGCUUUCAAAACGAAAAAAAAAAAAAAAAGGCCCUCAAGGUGUUUGCAUCACUUCAGGAGGGAAAGCUUUCAGAAAAACCACCAAAUUUUGCAAGAAUUGCCAUGAAGUCGGAAGAGGUAGCAGUAGUGCUGUCUUGGAGAAAAGACUUGGCAUCGCCCACUUUUCCUCCUCCCCCACCUCCAACCCCGGGAGGCUCCAGCCCAAAUUAUUUCUUCCUCCUGUAUAGAAGAACUUAAGGACUUCACCUCAUCAUGAUUCCUCAGCACUCCAAAGGAGCCGCUGGAGUGACCAUUCUGAUGAGGAAGACAGCCAGCUUGCUACAGACUCUCCUGGGCCCAGUUGUAAGCUAAGCAGGUUCAAUGUUGUUGAACUCCUCCGUGUUCAUCAUCAGCUGACCAACACCUUUGAGCUGCCACACGGCCGAGACCACGGGAAUGGUCCCUUACAACCAAGCGCAUCCUGUCUCUGACCACAGAAAACUGCGGAUCUCUUACUGGAAGGUAUAAAAACUUCACUGUCAAUAUAAAUAUUCCAACUAUUUAAUUAUACCCCACUUAGUGUUUAUGGGAUCAGC